rnacentral:rRNA from 1 species
UACGUAGGGUGCAAGCGUUAAUCGGAAUUACUGGGCGUAAAGCGUGCGCAGGCGGUUAUGCAAGACAGAGGUGAAAUCCCCGGGCUCAACCUGGGAACUGCCUUUGAGACUGCAUAGCUAGAGUACGGUAGAGGGGGAUGGAAUUCCGCGUGUAGCAGUGAAAUGCGUAGAUAUCGGAAGGAACAUCAGUGGCGAAGGCGACUUCCUGGACCAAUACUGACGCUCAGGUGCGAAAGCGUGGGGAGCAAACAGG